GGCUCUCAGCGCCGAGAGCGCGAGCGGCGGCCAGGCCCACAUUCCUCUACCUCCCGGCGGUUUCCUGGGACGGCUGCUUGCGGGGGGAGCGCUGAGCCCUCGCCGGCCUGGAUCCCUCCUUUGCCCACUGCCCGGGCUCUGGGAGCGGGGAGCUGGGGGAAGCGGCAGUGGGCUGGCAAGGAAGUGUUCCGGGAAGAUGGACAGAGCCGGACCCGCGUGGGGCUGCGACUGCUUCUAAGCCCUCCGUCCCCCGGCUUCCCACACGGCCACACAGCAGGCCCAGGAGCGACGGCCCUGACACACGGGAGCCCUUUCUCGGCUUGUUUUUUCCGUCUAAAAUGUCAAGCUUGUCGUUAUCCAGCUGGAUCUCCCGCUCCCCGCCCCUUCUUGGCUGCUUAUUGAAGAGCAAAGUGAAUUCUGAUUCUCGCUGCGUCACCGUUAGAAAGAGCAAGUGACCUCGUUAUCUCCAGGGACCCUGGGGAGCACGGCCACCCAGGGGGAGGUGCUAAAGAGCGGCGUAGGGGCAGCCAGACAGCAGUCACCGCAACAGCGAGACCGUCGUCACCCUGGCGUGCAGGCCCUCACACAAGCGAUGUUAUUUAUCUCCCAGGAGCGCCGUGGGUGGUAUCAUCACACCCAUUUAGAGGAAGAAACCGGAGAUCUGCACUCUGAGGGGUCUUGUAGAAGGCGUGACGCUCUCGGAGCCAGGCUCCUGCGCCUGCAGGGAGACGCCCGGCGGACGGAGCUGUGUAGGGAGGGCACUGGGUGCAGGCGGACCGCGCCCGGCAAACAGCAGAGGGCGGCGCGGUCCCUGCACUUGACGUGCGUGACAAGCCAGGGGGCUGCUGUCGGCCCGUCCGCGGACCAGGUGACCCGCGGGCUGACGGGGGAGCUCGCGUCGACGGCGCUUAGCGAGCUUGUGUCCGUGCGGCUCCUGCACUAGACGCUCUUCUCCUGCCUCUGCCCUGUGAGAUGCAGCCCCAGGUACCGACGGGGCCUGGGCACCAGGAGUGACCGCCCAGCCCCACCAGGCCCGGCCGGGAGUCGCUUGGCAGCGCGUUUGGAGCCUCUGACCACCGGGAGUCCCCAGCUCCGCUGGGCAUCCGACCGCUGUCCGGCCCGCAGCUUUUGGACAUCUGCCCUGACCAACGGCACAUCCGGACGACCCCCUGCAGGCCGUAGAGUCUUCCAGACGCCGAGGGGCUCGCCCUGCGGCCGCUGAGCAGACUCUGCCCUGAGUGGCAUCUCAGCCCCGCACGGGCACGUUCAAGGUGGAGGAGCUCGGGGCCCGGGUGGCGCUCAGGAGGCCGCCUGGUUAGUAGAAUGGGAGAUAACUUGGAAAGCGCUCCUCCUUUAGAAAUGCACCCUGACAAUCCUGCUUCCGUGCCCCUCUCUGUGGGACGCUGGGCGUUAACUCUCCAGGCGACAGUUUGAGCCUUAGGCAGGGAGGCCCCCUGCCGCCUCUCGCACGUGUGGGUGUAUCAGCUCCCCGGGCGCGACACAGAGCAGACCAGGAGCGGACAGAUGUGGGCGCGCUGGCGAGGAGCCUGGGGAGCCCCAGCGGUGUGUAUGUAAAGCGGAGGUCGGGGUGAAAAUAAAA